UACGGAGGGUCGCGAGCGUUGUCCGGAAUCACUGGGCGUAAAGGGCGCGUAGGUGGCGCGGGCAGUCAACGGUGAAAGUUCGGGGCUCAACCCUGAAUCGGCCGUCGAUACUCCCGUGCUUGAGCACUGUAGAGGCAGAUGGAAUUCCGGGUGUAGCGGUGGAAUGCGUAGAGAUCCGGAAGAACACCGGUGGCGAAGGCGGUCUGCUGGGCAGUUGCUGACACUGAGGCGCGACAGCGUGGGGAGCAAACAGG
rnacentral:rRNA from 1 species